UGCGUAGGGUGCAAGCGUUGUCCGGAAUUAUUGGGCGUAAAGAGCUCGUAGGCGGUUUGUCGCGUCGAAUGUGAAAACCCGGGGCUCAACCCCGGGCCUGCAUUCGAUACGGGCAGACUAGAGUUCGGUAGGGGAGUCUGGAAUUCCUGGUGUAGCGGUGAAAUGCGCAGAUAUCAGGAGGAACACCGGUGGCGAAGGCGGCGACCUGGUCCGAUACUGACGCUGAGGCGCGAAAGCGUGGGGAGCAAACAGG
rnacentral:rRNA from 1 species